UGGGGAAUAUUGGACAAUGGGCGAAAGCCUGAUCCAGCAAUGCCGCGUGAGUGAUGAAGGCCUUAGGGUUGUAAAGCUCUUUUACCAGGGAUGAUAAUGACAGUACCUGGAGAAUAAGCUCCGGCUAACUCCGUGCCAGCAGCCGCGGUAAUACGGAGGGAGCUAGCGUUGUUCGGAUUUACUGGGCGUAAAGCGCGUGUAGGCGGACUUGUAAGUUGGGGGUGAAAUCCCGAGGCUCAACCUCGGAACUGCCUCCAAAACUACAAAUCUGGACCUAAGUAGAGGCAAGUGGAAUUGCGAGUGUAGAGGUGAAAUUCGUAGAUAUUCGCAGGAACACCAGUGGCGAAGGCGACUUGCUGGACUUAUGGUGACGCUGAGACGCGAAAGCGUGGGGAGCAAACAGGAUUAGAUACCCAAGUAGUCCCUGAGCGGGCUGGCAAGGCGCAU
rnacentral:rRNA from 1 species